GAACUGAUUAAUUAAAUAAAUAAUCAACUGCAUCUCGAUUUUUGAGUCAUCUGGCUAUAUCUGCAAUUAUUUCCAAGAUUGACUAUAAUUGCAUUUUUUGUUAAUUGCAUGAGUUAAUCGGGGCUAUAAUUGAAAUAGCUAGUUGUCUUCUAUGUUUUAAUUAGGGUUAUAAUUGAAAUAACUAUUUAGCUUUUGCAUUGGUCACAUUUGAAAAUGAUUAAUUUGUUAUACAUUUAAACGUGGCCACAAUUAAAAUGAUAAUUAGUUGCCACACUUUUUAAUUCGGCUAUUUGUUAAAUUAACUAGUGGCCACAUUUUAUACAAAAUUUCCCAUUUAUGUAUGUGUAUAUACGUGUAUAUACAUAUGUAUACACACAUACGCAUAUAUGAAAACCGGUCGGGCCCAGUCCAAGAUGGACCGACCCGGCCCAAUCACGCAUAUAAGCGUGAAGUCACAGACCAAAGACCUCAUUUGGUCUUUUUAAAGUGGAAAGGGUAUGAAACCCUAGCCGCCCAUCGUCUCUUUUCUCUCUUCACAUUAGGAUUGCUGGAAAUGCAAAAUUUAAGGCAAGGACUGUGAUUUCAGUCAAUCUACACCAUUUUGGGUGAGAGCAUUAAAUGUUCUUAUCCUCUCUCUCCUAUUUCCACUGUAGAACUGUCAGGAAAGUAUCGGGUGGAGAAGCAAGGGCUUCGAAUUCCAAUCUCAAUAAAGGUUGCACUUGGAAAAGGUAUACCCAGAUGAGUAGAAGACUUUGCUAGAAGGUGUUCCAGCAGGAUUGGCGAGCUCUAUUUCCUUCCGGAGUGUUGCCAAGUCGAAGUUUGUAUGUUAUGAUUUCUGGAUUGAUAUUAGAGACUUUGCAGACAAGAGUCGUGGGUAUAGAAUGUCAGUCUUGUAAGCGGCUCCAUUAGCCGAUGUGUCUUUUUACAUUAUGUUAUAAACUCCAUACGAUUACAGAUUUUGUUUGAUUCGAGUACGAUGAAAAGAAAA